GAGCAGAAUAGAGGGAGUCAGAGUGGCAUCCUUUUAAAAAACAUGAACCGUUUCAAGCACAGCGUUUGACGGAGGGUAGACGAAGGGGAAUCAGUUCUGGACAGGAGGAUGCCUCCCUGCGUUUGCCCUCCCUGCCUUCCCCCACAUCCUUCUCUGGAAAGGAGAAUGAGGAUGAGAAUGACCUCCCUCUGCAGGACGAGGCGUGUUUGCUUCACCCUUGCCUUCCACCAUGAUUGUGAGUUUCCUGAGGCCUUCCCCAGCCAUGCUUCCUGUAUAGUCUGUGGAACGGGCAGACUAUGGAUGGCAGAGCUGUACCUUGUGAUUGAACAGAAUCUGAUCAGGAACCUUGGCCUGGAAGCUCAGCAGACUGAACGUUUCACAGUGUGAUGCAGCUUAUUUGAAGUCAUCCAGACCACAAGAGCUCCUUUCUCCUGACCUUUGAUGUUGGCUGGUGGCUGGUGCGCACCGUAGGGAGUGCCCCGAGGACCCAGAGGCUCUCCUUCCUCCCCCUGCCUGCUGCUGUGCUAUUAGGGAGGUCUGGCCUCCAAAGGCCUGGCCAGAUCCUGGGAGAAAG